rnacentral:lncRNA from 1 species
AACAGCUAACUCACACAUUGGCAAAAGAAAAAGAAAAAAGAUAAAAGCGAGCUCAUAAAGGAUGACAAACUUCUAGUUGUGGUCCAAAACUCGAUCGAGUUACCCUGCCUCAUCACCCUUUUCAGGUUACAAACAUUCAUUUAUCCAAAGGGUUUUAAAAAAGAAAAUGGUUUGAUAGGAUCGCAGCCCUAUCAGAAUAAGUAAAACCUCACCUCAUACGUGCAAUUCAAGCAUUGAAAAACCUUUACAUUGAUUAUCUCGGUUUGAACAUUAUGGUUGUUAAAAAAACAUUGAGAUUUCAAGCUCUACAAAUAGUGUUUAUUGUAACAAAUUAUCUAGACCGCUCAUUUCGCCCUAAAAAUAAGUGUUCAUAAAUUUAUGAGAUAUGUAUUAUUUUUUAAUUUCAAAAAAUAAGUGUUCAUAAAUUUAUGAGAUAUGUAUUAUUUUUUAAUUUCAAAUUUUAUUAGCAGUGUUGAAAAUUGAUUUUAAAACCAUCAUUAAGAUAUUCACUAUAGGCUAGAGGUCCAUACGUGAGGAAACCACCCUUUGCUCACAAAUAAAGCAAUUCUAUCUUCACCGCUCACGAAAGACAAUGAUAAUGGCGGGAUUUGCAGCGGCACCAUAAUCGACAACAAUCAUACACGCUACCCAAGUCGUUGUUUAAACCCUAGGCCUUAUACAAACUUUAUCCAAAAGAAUUUUACUAAAGGAAAAUUAUUUGAUAGGGUCCCCAUUAACAUGAGUAAAUCCUCACGUCAUAACUCAUAAAAAAUUGUAAGUCAAGCUUUGGAAAACCUUUACAUCAUAUCAUUUCGAAUUGAACAUUAAGUUUGUGACAAAAAUUACGAUUUCAAGCUUUAAAAAGAAUGUCUAUGGUAACAAAUUAUCUAAAAUAUCCAUUUUGCUUUACCACUUUUUGAGUUCGAAUUUUUAUUGUGGAAUUGGAAAUUGAUUUUAGAACCACCAUAGAUAUUUAUGUUGCUGAAAGAACUUUCCAGAGGAGUAUUUGAGGUGAGGUUUUAUUUCGUUUUCAUAAAGCCUAGGCCUUAUAGAAACUUUAUCCUCUAAAAAUUUUAAAAAAAAAAUUAACUAAAAAAUUUAUAAAUGAUGAAUAGCUCAGUAAUAAAUGAGUUGAGCAAUUGAAUAGA